rnacentral:rRNA from 1 species
CAUUAUUGAAUAAGCUUGGUUGGGUUGUAGCUGGCCUUUCUGGGGCAUGUGCACAUCUAACUCCAACUUCUUACCACCUGUGCACCCUUUGUAGACAUGGAUAUCUUUCGAGGAAAACUCGGUUUGAGGAAUGUAGUGUACAAAACUAGCUUUCCUUACACUUCCAGUCUAUGUUUUUAUAUACCCCUAUUUGUAUGUCUAUUGAAUGUCAUUUAAUGGGCUUCAAUUGCCUUUAAAAUCUAUACAACUUUCAACAACGGAUCUCUUGGCUCUCGCAUCGAUGAAGAACGCAGCGAAAUGCGAUAAGUAAUGUGAAUUGCAGAAUUCAGUGAAUCAUCGAAUCUUUGAACGCACCUUGCGCUCCUUGGUAUUCCGAGGAGCAUGCCUGUUUGAGUGUCAUGAAAUUCUCAACCUAUUUCAGCUUUGUUGUUGAAUCAGGCUUGGAUUUGUGGGGGUUUGCGGGCUUCAAAAGUCAGCUCUCCUUAAAAGCAUUAGCAUUAUCUUUUGUUAUCUAGCUUUGGUGUGAUAAUUAUCUAUAUCAUGGCUUGAAAUGAGAUUAUGCUUCAACUGUCUCGUUAGAGAUUACUUAUUACUUUG